CGGCCUCUGGCUCCUCUCACUGUUUUAUCUCUUUAAGGAAUCUCAGACAGUUUUAUCUUUGAAAGGUAUCUUUAUUUUUUUUCUUCAGAAACAUAGCAAAUAUUGUAUAUCCGGUGAGCGGUGGCCCCAGAGUGUAGGGGGAAGGGUGCUUUCUGAGGCGCAAACAUACUCUCUUAGACACACCGAGCACACACACCAAAUCAAGAUUCUAAGAAGAACAGGAAGGCUGCGCUGUUUGACUCAUAAUUCAAAAUACUGCACGUUGAGCAUUUUCCCGCAGUUCAAUGGAGGACACAAAGCUAAACUAAAUGCACAGCCAUUGGAUGGCCAUAAAUAAGACAGCAUCGCACUGUGCACAAAACAGCACCUCGUCCAUCCAGCCAUUAGUUGAGUCUAUUACUAUGAGCCCGCAACAGCUCAAGGCGGGCCUGAAGGCAAAAACGCUCCCUCUUUUUGUAUCUCCCCUUUUCAUGCCAGUUUUUCCAAAAAGGUGUCUAAUCAAAUAAACUGACUGCGUCAAUAACAAUUGGUUCUUUGUGUUUAGGUUUUAAAAAUACAUAUGAAUGGAUUUAUAAUUGUAUGUGUCUUGAUCAUCUCUCCCCUGACCGAAUGUCCAUUAUGAGUUAUAAUGAACGUUUCUUCCGGCCUCUGGCAUCUUGUCGGCAUUCCUCCAG
ensembl:lncRNA